UGGGGAAUAUUGGGCAAUGGGGGGAACCCUGACCCAGCAACGCCGCGUGAAGGAAGAAGGUUUUCGGAUUGUAAACUUCUGUCCUUGGUGAAGAGGAAGAGACGGUAGCCAAGGAGGAAGCCCCGGCUAACUACGUGCCAGCAGCCGCGGUCAUACGUAGGGUGCAAGCAUUAUCCGGAGUGACUGGGCGUAAAGAGUUGCGUAGGUGGUUUGUUAAGUAGGUAGUGAAAUCUGACGGCUCAACCGUACAGGCUAUUACCUAAACUGGCAAACUCGAGAAUGGUAGAGGUAACUGGAAUUUCUUGUGUAGGAGUGAAAUCCGUAGAUAUAAGAAGGAACACCAAUGGCGUAGGCAGGUUACUGGACCAUUUCUGACACUGAGGCACGAAAGCGUGGGGAGCGAACGGG
rnacentral:rRNA from 1 species